AAAAAAAAAAUAUAAGACUGGGAUAACUUCGGGAAACCGGAGCUAAUACCGGAUAAUAUAUUUAACCGCAUGGUUCAAUAGUGAAAGACGGUUUUUCUGUCACUUAUAUAUGGAUCCGCGCCGCAUUAGCUAGUUGGUAAGGUAACGUCUUACCAAGGCAACGAUGCGUAGCCGACCUGAGAGGGUGAUCGGCCACACUGGAACUGAGACACGGUCCAGACUCCUACGUGAGGCAGCAGUAGGGAAUCUUCCGCAAUGGGCGAAAGCUUGACGGAGCAACGCCGUUUUAUUUUUAAUGAUCCGC
rnacentral:rRNA from 1 species